rnacentral:hammerhead_ribozyme from 1 species
AUCCAGCUGAUGAGUCACAAACAGGACGAAACCGAGUCUUGUAU